rnacentral:rRNA from 1 species
UACGUAGGGGGCAAGCGUUGUCCGGAUUUAUUGGGCGUAAAGAGCGUGUAGGCGGUUUGGUAGGUCCGUUGUGAAAACUCGAGGCUCAACCUCGAGACGCCGAUGGAAACCAUCAGACUAGAGUCCGGAAGAGGAGAGUGGAAUUCCUGGUGUAGCGGUGAAAUGCGCAGAUAUCAGGAAGAACACCAGUGGCUAAGGCGGCUCUCUAGUCCGGUACUGACGCUGAGACGCGAAAGCGUGGGGAGCGAACAGG